rnacentral:piRNA from 1 species
UCUGCUCUAAUCACCAACAAG